UACGAAGGGUGCAAACGUUGCUCGGAAUCAUUGGGCGUAAAGCGCACGUAGGCGGCUUCGCAAGUCGGAUGUGAAAUCCCACGGCUCAACCAUGGACGUGCAUCCGAAACUGUGAGGCUUGAGUAUGGAAGAGGGUCGCGGAAUUCCCGGUGUAGAGGUGAAAUUCGUAGAUAUUCGGAGGAACACCAGUGGCGAAGGCGGCUCACUGGUCCGGUACUGACGCUGAGGUGCGAAAGCGUGGGGAGCAAACAGG
rnacentral:rRNA from 1 species